UCUCUUAUGGUAUAACAGGUUAAUACACACACUGGGUAUUUUAGUGAGACAACGAGGUUGAUUGUCGAUUAUCUGUGCGAGAUCUGGGUUCGAUUCCCGGUGAGAGAU